UUACGGCCAUAUCACGUUGAAACACCGGUUCCCGUACGAUCACUGGAGUUACGCAACCCCAAGCCUGGUCAGUGCUUAGUGACCGCUUGGGAAUACAAGUGCUGUAAG